CCUACGGGAGGCAGCAGUGAGGAAUAUUGGUCAAUGGCCGGAAGGCUGAACCAGCCAAGUCGCGUGAGGGACGACUGCCCUAUGGGUUGUAAACCUCUUUUAUAAGGGAAGAAUAAAUGCUACGUGUAGCAUGAUGCCUGUACCUUAUGAAUAAGCAUCGGCUAACUCCGUGCCAGCAGCCGCGGUAAUACGGAGGAUGCGAGCGUUAUCCGGAUGUAUUGGGUUUAAAGGGUGCGUAGGCGGUUUUUUAAGUUAGUGGUUAAACGUCGGGGCUUCACCUUGAUUUGCCAUUAAUACUGUAAGACUCGAGUUCAGACGAGGUAGGCGGAAUAAGUUAAGUAGCGGUGAAAUGCUUAGAUAUAACUUAGAACUCCGAUAGCGAAGGCAGCUUACCAGACUGCGACUGACGCUGAAGCACGAGAGCGUGGGUAGCAAACAGGAUUAGAUACCCCUGUAGUC
rnacentral:rRNA from 1 species